rnacentral:rRNA from 1 species
UACGGAGGAUGCGAGCGUUAUCCGGAUUUAUUGGGUUUAAAGGGAGCGUAGGCGGAUCGUUAAGUCAGUGGUCAAAUUGAGGGGCUCAACCCCUUCCCGCCAUUGAAACUGGCGAUCUUGAGUGGAAGAGAAGUAUGCGGAAUGCGUGGUGUAGCGGUGAAAUGCAUAGAUAUCACGCAGAACCCCGAUUGCGAAGGCAGCAUGCCGGCUUCCUACUGACGCUGAAGCACGAAAGCGUGGGGAUCGAACAGG